GCUUUGACCUUCUGGCUGCUCCGUCCCUCCCUGCUCCGACGGAGAGGAGAUGUCUACAAGGAAAAGACUACCUGGCCCUCUUCCUGGAGGAUAUGAAACUUGGUCGUCUUGGGAUUUCUUAUCUGCUUAAAAGGCAUCAUGCUCUUCGCCACCUUGCUGUGCAGUCAGCCAAGGGGACCAAGAUCCCUCAGAGAUGGUGAUACCUAAAGGAGGAUCUUGUCAAAACAUCUCUGCUGCCUGGCAAAGCAGCCUGCCCGGGCUGGCCCGGCAGCAGCUCUGCACAGCGGGGCUGCCCACAG